UGUUGCUCAUUUUUUGCAUCAUUUCUUGAUAAGUUGCUCAUUGCCUUCCUUCCAUGUUUUUAUUUUAGAGAAAUCAACCAAUUUACUAACGUUUUCAAGGGUGAAGUCAAUUACUACCAUCUCAAACAAAAAAUCGACAACCCUUUGUGGGCUCUGCUCCUUAUUCACAUCUCUAGCAUCAAAAUAAACACUUUGAAAAAAAGGCUCUCGCUGCAAACUGUGGACACAAGUUCCUUUCAUUCACUUGUGAUUUAUCUUUUUCUGGACAGAGUACCUCGACGGGAUGACAUCUAAGGAAGAUAUCUACAACAAAGUGUAUGAAAGUGUUCAGAACUACCUGCUUAACAACAUAUAGGAAGACGGGGAUAACAGUGGAUUUGUGUAUAGACUUGUAAAUAUCAUUAUUUUGAGUUAAAUGUGUAACACCAGUUCUGUAACUUCUAGCCUGAUUUGUAAAUACUUAAUCCUGUAACUUAUUAAGAACUAACGGCAGAAGCGUUGUAUUUUGUAUAGUCCUUUGUAACUUUUUCUAAACGAUAAGCCACCUCUGGACUGCCCAGUGUUCAACAACGGGGACGGAUCGCAAAAAAAUGUCCCACUGGGAGGAAGGAUUUGUGUCUCGCAACUAAAUGAAAAGACUGAAUCCA